rnacentral:rRNA from 1 species
GAACGCUGGCGGCGUGCCUAAUACAUGCAAGUCGAGCGAACGGACGAGAAGCUUGCUUUUCUGAUGUUAGCGGCGGACGGGUGAGUAACACGUGGAUAACCUACCUAUAAGACUGGGAUAACUUCGGGAAACCGGAGCUAAUACCGGAUAAUAUUUUGAACCGCAUGGUUCAAAAGUGAAAGACGGUCUUGCUGUCACUUAUAGAUGGAUCCGCGCUGCAUUAGCUAGUUGGUAAGGUAACGGCUUACCAAGGCAACGAUGCAUAGCCGACCUGAGAGGGUGAUCGGCCACACUGGAACUGAGACACGGUCCAGACUCCUACGGGAGGCAGCAGUAGGGAAUCUUCCGCAAUGGGCGAAAGCCUGACGGAGCAACGCCGCGUGAGUGAUGAAGGUCUUCGGAUCGUAAAACUCUGUUAUUAGGGAAGAACAUAUGUGUAAGUAACUGUGCACAUCUUGACGGUACCUAAUCAGAAAGCCACGGCUAACUACGUG